UUAUUUUUUUGUCAAUUGGAAAAUGUGGUUUCAUGUCAUAAAAUAUGCUUCAUAAUCCAAAGUAUAGCUUCUGAUUUAUUUUGAUUUCAGGGUUAAAUGUGACCUGUAUAUAUGUUCUUGACAGCUUUCCCAAGGUUCAAUCAGUUUUAUAUUCAGCAUUCAGGAACUAGUCUGUUAACUGAAACAUUUAACUGGGUUCUUUUCUUCUUUUUGUUUCUUCUGUGGUUUCUCUGAAUGAGUGAGUCUGAGAUGGGAUGUGUGACUGGAUAAACGUAUGCAUUCACAGCGACGAUGUGUUUCGUCUUCUGAGGAUGUAAUGUUAGUAAAGUUGAGCUUCUGCAUUGUAUUUUAUUUGUACAAAAUCUGUAAAAUUAUGUGUUGCAUUUAUGUAUAUUAUUUACCAGAGUUAUUAAUGUAAAAAAAAAUAUAUUCCCCCUUUCAAAAUUAAUAGCAUUGUUUACCCUGACAAAAUGCGAGUAAGUAAUAGAUAUGCAUAUCUUCUGAAAUGAAGCAAACUGUAAUUUGAUUAUAUGGGUCACAUGAUUUAGUUAGCCUUCUUGUGGUUUACACAUGUGCUGAGAUGAUGCUACAGCAUGUGUGUGUGUGUGUGUGUGUGUGUGUGUGAUCUGAUCAUGUUCAGUUUGUAAAAGUUGACACUGUGAUCUUUAGUGUCUAGCCGUCCCCAUGAUGUCUGUCUUUGUGCAGGACGCAGAGAAAGAGAAAAUGCUCUGUUUCUGCUCACGCAUGAUUCACAAUAAACAUCAACUUAAAGGGCUCAGAACAAA